GAUGAAGAACGUAGCGAAAUGCGAUAAGUAGUGUGAAUUGCAGAAUUCAGUGAAUCAUCGAAUCUUUGAACGCACAUUGCGCCCCUUGGUAUUCCAUGGGGCAUGCCUGUUCGAGCGUCAUUUGUACCCUCAAGCUUUGCUUGGUGUUGGGCGUCUUGUCGUAUUACGACUCGCCUUAAAUACAUUGGCAGCCGGCACUUUGGCCUAGGAGCGCAGCACAUUUUGCGAUCGUAGCCCGUUGUACCGGCGUCCAUCAAGAACAUUUACCACGUUUGACCUCGGAUCAGGUAGGGAUACCCGCUGAACUUAAGCAUAUCAAUAAGCGGAGGA
rnacentral:misc_RNA from 1 species